UACAGAGGAGCCAAGCGUUGUCCGGAUUGACUGGGCGUAAAGCGCACGCAGGCGGCACCGCGCGUGGGGUGUGAAAUCUGGCCGCUUAACGGCCAGGCGCCAUCCCAUACGGCGCAACUGGAGGGCUGCAGAGGUCGAUGGAAUUGCCGGUGUAGUGGUGAAAUGCGUAGAGAUGUGGAGGAACACCGAUGGCGAAGGCAGCCCCCUGGGUCAAGAUUGACGCUCAUGCACGAAAGGCGUGGGGAGCAAACAGG
rnacentral:rRNA from 1 species